GAAAUAUUUUAAUUAAGCUGCUAACUUAAAUUUUUAACAGUUAACCCUGUUUAUAUUUCU
rnacentral:tRNA from 1 species